UGUAUUGAUGUAUUGAUUAAGCUUUCGGCCUUUGGAUGAAGCGAUGUACUAGUGGAUGUUGAAUAGUAUAAUCUAACGGGUGAAAAUGGUCAAAAGAAUAGAUCUAACGACAGAAAACUUGGUAGCAUCAUGUGCUUGGUGCUAUUAAUAGUAUUGUAGCCGGACUCUCUCUAUAUAUAUAACUCUGAUAUCUUUCACCAUUUCCCCUUCCUACGCCUCUCUUUCUUCCUCUCUCCAUCGCCCUGCAGCAUUUUCUUUUCUUCACUGUGUCACUCUUUCGCCACUUCGCCUUUCUAUGCUUCUCUCUCUUCCUCUUUCUAUCUUUUUGCUGUA
rnacentral:lncRNA from 1 species